ACCAGUACCCCGACUAUCACUAUGUAAUUAUGAUGGAGGAUGUUUGUGGUGGCCUUGUUAAUCACCGUUGGCAAUGAAACACAUCAGCGAACAUCACACGUCUGUGUUUUCAUGUUUUAAAGUUGUUAAAGAGAGACUGCCUUCCAUCACUGCAUAUUGCAGCAUGUGCAUCUACUACCUCUGUGCCUCGUAUAACUACGCAUUAUACUAUUCAUCCUCGGGACAAAGACAAACGAUGGGAAGGAGUAAACAUGGAAAGAUUUGCAGAGGAAGCUGAUGUUGUCAUAGUCGGAGGAGGCCCUGCGGGUCUUUCUGCAGCUAUUCGACUCAAACAGUUAGCCACUGAGCAUGGCAAAGAAGUACGUGUUUGUCUGGUGGAAAAAGCCGCUCAGAUUGGUGCACAUACACUUUCUGGUGCUUGUCUUGAGCCACGGUCCUUAGAAGAACUUUUUCCGGACUGGAAGGAGCGGGGGGCUCCACUUCAUACUCCUGUAACUGAAGACAGGUUUGGAAUUUUAACAAAGAAAUUUAGAAUUCCAGUGCCGAUCCUCCCAGGACUUCCUAUGGUUAAUCAUGGAAAUUACAUAGUACGGCUGGGACACUUUGUGAGCUGGUUGGGCGAACAAGCAGAAGCUUUGGGUGUUGAGGUGUAUCCAGGCUACGCAGCAGCUGAGGUUCUUUUCCAUGAAGAUGGCAGCGUGAAAGGGAUUGCAACUAAUGAUGUAGGCAUUCAAAAGGAUGGAGCACCUAAAGCUACUUUUGAAAGAGGCUUGGAACUCCAUGCUAAAGUCACAGUCUUUGCUGAAGGUUGCCAUGGGCAUCUAGCCAAACAGCUGUACAAGAAAUACAAUCUAAGGGAGAAUUGUCAACCCCAGAGCUAUGGCAUUGGAUUGAAAGAGUUAUGGACUAUUGAUGAAAAGAAAUGGAAGCCAGGAAAAGUAGAACAUACCGUUGGCUGGCCUUUAGACAGACAUACGUAUGGAGGAUCCUUUCUUUAUCACUUAAAUGAAGGUGAACCUUUGGUUGCUCUUGGAUUUGUGGUUGGUUUAGAUUAUCAAAAUCCCUAUUUGAAUCCAUUUAGGGAAUUUCAGAGGUGGAAGCACCAUCCCAGUGUACAGCCUACUUUGGAGGGUGGAAAAAGGAUUGCCUAUGGUGCCAGAGCUUUGAAUGAAGGUGGUUUACAGUCUAUACCCAAACUCACCUUCCCAGGUGGAUUAUUAAUUGGUUGCAGUCCUGGACUCAUGAAUGUUCCUAAGAUCAAAGGGACACAUACUGCAAUGAAAAGUGGCAUCCUGGCUUCAGAAGCCAUCUUCAACCAGUUAAUCAAUGAAAAUCUCCAAUCAAAGACAAUAGGACUUGAUGUGCAAGAAUAUGAAGAGAACCUGAAAAAGUCAUGGGUUUGGAAAGAGCUAUAUUCAGUUAGAAACAUCCGACCAUCCUGCCAUAGCGUACUUGGUUUGUAUGGAGGAAUGAUUUACACAGGUAUAUUUUAUUGGAUACUGAGAGGAAUGGAACCAUGGACAUUAAAACAUCCAGGACCAGAUUUUGCUCAGCUCAAGCCAGCCAAAGACUGCACACCUAUUGAAUAUCCAAAGCCUGAUGGAAAAAUCAGUUUUGAUCUCCUGUCGUCUGUGGCUUUAAGUGGUACAAAUCAUGAACAUGACCAGCCUGCUCAUUUAACCCUAAAAGAUGACAGCAUCCCUGUGAACAAAAAUUUGGCUAUAUUUGAUGGACCAGAACAAAGAUUUUGUCCAGCAGGAGUUUAUGAAUAUAUUCCUUUGGAAACAGGAGAAGGAUCAAGACUGCAGAUAAAUGCUCAGAACUGUGUCCACUGCAAAACAUGCGAUAUUAAAGACCCAAGUCAGAACAUUAACUGGGUAGUCCCUGAAGGUGGAGGAGGACCAGCUUAUAAUGGAAUGUAAAACGGCUGAAACCUAUGCAAUGACUUUUGACCUCCAACAAAUAAGUUGGAACGUUUUAUGCUGCAGUGUAAUUAAAGUAUAGCACUGACUUGAAUGUUUAACAGUUUGAGACUAACACGCUAUUCUGAAUUGUAGGUAUGACCGUUACAUUAAAUGGAAAGUCAGUGCGUUCUGGUUAAACCUUAGCCUUAUUUAAAAAGAACUUCUUCACAGAGUGGUGUGGCAGGAAGAAGAAAGUUCUUCUCAGGAUUGACAAAUGAACUUUGGAUCGUCAAUUUAUUGCUGAAGUUCAGUGAUAACAGCAGACUUAUCCAGAAUCAUGGGUGUAGUAGAAGAAUUUAGUACCUACCCUUAAAAAAAGCUGGUUUCAUUUCACUAGGAAGCCUACCUGAAAGGACUUUAAUUAGAAAAGCGACUUCAACCAGAAAAAUACCAACCCAUCAAAUCUAAAAACAAAGGCUGGAAGAGGAAACAGCAGUGAGAAGAGCUGCAACAAGCAGAAGACACUGAAAUUUUAUUAUAUUAGAGAUGAGCGUUCUUUUUCAAACUGACAAAUCUUUUAAAAUAACAGGUAUACAUUUUUCAAACACUUACAAACUGACAUGACUUACACACUGAUUGCUUUAUCAGAAAUACAACAAUUUCUGACAUAAGAUUCAUGACAACUGCAUAUCACGCAAUUCAUGAUGAUUGCAUAUUACCUAGGAUUAUGAAUUCCACUUUGUAAUUUCCUCACCUGUCCUCCACUUCUAGAAGUGUAUUUCCACCUUCACCCUGAUAAAGGCUUCUACCCUCUCAGUUGCACUGAACAAUAAGACAACUGUUUCUGUGGUGGAAAUUUACAAUAGAGGAACAAAAACCUCUUAACAUGAACAGUAAACUGAAAAUCAUUACUGUUCGUAAAAAUAACUGGUAAACAUUUAAUAGUCCUAAACAUUACACUAGGCAUUUAGAAGAAAUGGAAAGAAAUGCAUGAAUUCAUGCUAGAAUCUGCCAGCUCAGGAAGUUUGUACCAAGCUACCAUGACCUAAAGUUAUUCCAAAAGGCAGCAGUUCCAGCAGCAUAAGGCCUUUGGUGCUUUUCCAAUGUAAUCAUUCAGAAGAGACUAAAAGGAAAGAACGCUGCAAAGAAUUAUUACUUCCUGCUUCACCUAUGCAUUUUUCUUAGUUUUCACAUUUAAAUUUUAUCAACUAGAAUCUAGGAAGCUAACUCCUAAAAUGAGUGCACUACUCCUCCAUGCCAUCACACAGGAAAGAAAGAAGAUAUAUUUACAUUUAGAUUUUAUGGGAGAAAAAACACUUCCUUCAACAAUAUUCACUCUUUCUCCCCAAGGAUGACAAAAAAUCCACUGGCUGGUUGAUUUUUCUAAAACACUUUAGAAAAAUCAGUCACCACUUUAAUAGUUUUCAUUCACAAAAUCACUUUUUUUCCUUCCAAUACUUUUAUGACACAAAUGUUUCAGAUUAACGGAAUCAACAAUCCUGUAAUUUUUAGUUUCAGUAAGUGACAAACAAGACCUGCAAGGUGUUUACAAUAGCAGGGAGUGAAAGGUAAUGGUUUAAUACUUCCCAAAAAUAACUUGGUAAAAACAGUGCCUUUAUCACUUUUCUCUAGUAAAAGGAAAAUCAUUUUUAAUCCUCCUGAAAAAUUGGUCAAAUCAAGUCAUAAUUUUCAGUCAAAACAUCAUUUAAUAGAAAAAAAAAAAA